UUCUUGACUCUUCAAGGUCUUGGAAUAAGGGGUGGGUAAGGACGGUGCCAGCCGCCGCGGUAAUACCGGCGCCUCAAGUGGUAGUCGCUUUUAUUGGGCCUAAAACGUCCGUAGCCGGUUUGAUACAUUCGUGGGUAAAUCAACUAGCUCAACUACUUGAAUUCUGCGAGCACGGCCAGACUUGGGACCGGGAGAGGUGUGGGGUACUCUCAGGGUAGGGGUAAAAUCCUGUCAUCCUGAGAGGACCACCUGUUGCGAAGGCGCCACACUAAAACGGAUCCAACGGUCAGGGACGAAGCCUAGGGGCACGAACCGGAUUAAAUACCCGGGUAGUCCUAGGUGUAAACGCUGUGGACUUGAUGUUGGGAGCGCUCCGAGCACUCCCAGGGUCGAAGCGAAGGUGAUAAUUCCACUGCCUGGGAAGUACGGUCGCAAGGCUGAAACUUAAAGGAA
rnacentral:rRNA from 1 species